rnacentral:tRNA from 1 species
CGGCGGCCUCGGCGACGGCGGUGGCGGCGUCCGCGGUGGCGGGGCGGUCCGCGGUGUCCGCGGUCGCCGGGUCCGAGCCGGCGGCCGCCGUC